UCCAUGUUUCAUACUAAUUGCAUAUAUAAUUCAUAAUUGAUGUGAGCUGACCUGUGAACUACAUGAGCUCAGACGGUCUCCAAGAGCUUACCUAUAACGUGACCCAAAUCCAAAUUGCGUCGUUCACAGUGUUUGUGGAGAGAAAAAAACGCUCUCCAACGGACGAGGCAAACAAGAUACCCAUUUUACGUCUGAGCCAAUGCGGUACCCAUAUAUGCGUCUUCUCUCUCUGUCUCUCUCCUCAAGCGAAAUAUCUGCGGCACAACCGUUUCGUGGGAGACGGAAAGACCAGGAAAGCGCACUCGGCGAUAGGGAAGCUUCGCCAUCGGCCAGAUCUGCACCGAGCAAGCUUGGCAGCAUUCAAGAUAGGAGAACCUUCAGACAAGAACGAUGAAGACCAAUGAGUGAAGCUAACAGUAGGUACGAGAAGAUGAAGUUAAAGAACACGGGACUGAAGGCGAACGACUCACUUUGGGAUAUAUGGCGAAGAGAAAGCCAGACGAAACGAAGACAACAUGAAUUUGACUCACAAAGAUCCCUCUUGACCAGAAGGUUUACAUCAUCCGACGAAGCUAGAGGAAGGGUGUAAAAAUGUAUUUCCCAUUGCACAAUGGCAAAAUUGCCCUUAAUUGUAAUAGGGGCUAGACUUAGAUGUAAUAGCAGAACUAGGACUAAAAGCGGGAUUGUAUAGAGAUAGCCAAAGGCUACACUAUAAAUAACACCCUAACUUGUGCCUUUUUUUCAAACAUAAAUUUUUUAUUCAAUCAAGUUAAAUCCACUUAUUGA